AUUGAACGCUGGCGGCAUGCCUUACACAUGCAAGUCGAACGGUAACAGGUCUUCGGACGCUGACGAGUGGCGAACGGAUGAGUAAUACAUCGGAACGUGCCCAGUCGUGGGGGAUAACUACUCGCAAGAGUAGCUAAUACCGCAUACGAUCUGAGGAUGAAAGCGGGGGACCUUCGGGCCUCGCGCGAUUGGAGCGGCCGAGGGCAGAUUAGGGAGUUGGUGGGAUAAAGGCUUACCAAGCCGACGAUCUGUAGCUGGUCUGAGAGGACGACCAGCCACACUGGGACGGAGACACGGCCCAGACUCCUACGGGAGGCAGCAGUGGGGAAUUUUGGACAAUGGGCGAAAGCCUGAUCCAGCAAUGCCGCGUGCAGGAUGAAGGCCUUCGGGUUGUAAACUGCUUUUGUACGGAACGAAAAAGCUCCUUCUAAUACAGGGGCCCAUGACGGUACCGUAAGAAUAAGCACCGGCUAACUACGUGCCAGCCGCCGUCGUAA
rnacentral:rRNA from 1 species